rnacentral:tRNA from 1 species
CGAGGCGCCAAGGGAGGGUUACUUCGACUGUUAAUCGACCAGGUCGUUGGUUCGAAUCCAAUCGCCUCAG